rfam:Oryza barthii chromosome 4, whole genome shotgun sequence.
UUUAAACGUAGCUAUUAGUUUUCUGGUCCAACUUUAAUCGUCUGUCUUAUUUAAAUCUUUUUUAAUGAUUAAUGUUUUUGUUGUUAUUAGAUGAUAAAAUACGAAUAGUACUCUACGCGUGACUUAUGUAUUUUUUUUAUUUUUUUAAAAAAAAAUUAAUAAGAUGGACGAUCAAGAUUGAACACGAAAACUCAUGAUUGUAAUGGGA